CUACGGGUGGCAGCAGUGAGGAAUAUUGGUCAAUGGACGAGAGUCUGAACCAGCCAAGUAGCGUGAAGGAUGACUGCCCUAUGGGUUGUAAACUUCUUUUAUAAAGGAAUAAAGUGUGCCACGUGUGGCACUUUGUAUGUACUUUAUGAAUAAGGAUCGGCUAACUCCGUGCCAGCAGCCGCGGUAAUACGGAGGAUCCAAGCGUUAUCCGGAUUUAUUGGGUUUAAAGGGAGCGUAGAUGGAUUUUUAAGUCAGCUGUGAAAGUUUGAGGCUCAACCUUAAAAUUGCAGUUGAUACUGGAAGUCUUGAGUACAGUUGAGGUAUGCGGAAUUCGUGGUGUAGCGGUGAAAUGCUUAGAUAUCACGAAGAACUCCGAUUGCGAAGGCAGCAUACUAAGCUGUAACUGACAUUGAGGCUCGAAAGUGUGGGUAUCAAACAGGAUUAGAUACCCGCGUAGUC
rnacentral:rRNA from 1 species